CACCGGUGGCGAAGGCGGUCUUCUGGAUUAUUGCUGACACUGAGAGACGAAAGCGUGGGGAGCAAACAGAAUUAGAUACUCUGGUAGUCCACGCCCUAAACGAUGUAUGCUUGUUGUUGGUUUCCCUUCCGGGGAAUUAGUGACGUAGUUAACGCGUUAAGCAUACCGCCUGGGGAGUACGAUCGCAAGAU
rnacentral:rRNA from 1 species